UCUGGGACAAGCCCUGGAAACGGGGUCUAAUACCGGAUAACACUCUGUCCCGCAUGGGACGGGGUUAAAAGCUCCGGCGGUGAAGGAUGAGCCCGCGGCCUAUCAGCUUGUUGGUGGGGUGAUGGCCUACCAAGGCGACGACGGGUAGCCGGCCUGAGAGGGCGACCGGCCACACUGGGACUGAGACACGGCCCAGACUCCUACGGGAGGCAGCAGUGGGGAAUAUUGCACAAUGGGCGAAAGCCUGAUGCAGCGACGCCGCGUGAGGGAUGACGGCCUUCGGGUUGUAAACCUCUUUCAGCAGGGAAGAAGCGAGAGUGACGGUACCUGCAGAAGAAGCGCCGGCUAACUACGUGCCAGCAGCCGCGGUAAUACGUAGGGCGCAAGCGUUGUCCGGAAUUAUUGGGCGUAAAGAGCUCGUAGGCGGCUUGUUGCGUCGGUUGUGAAAGCCCGGGGCUUAACCCCGGGUCUGCAGUCGAUACGGGCAGGCUAGAGUGUGGUAGGGGAGAUCGGAAUUCCUGGUGUAGCGGUGAAAUGCGCAGAUAUCAGGAGGAACACCGGUGGCGAAGGCGGAUCUCUGGGCCAUUACUGACGCUGAGGAGCGAAAGCGUGGGGAGCGAACAGGAUUAGAUACCCUGGUAGUCCACGCCGUAAACGUUGGGAACUAGGUGUUGGCGACAUUCCACGUCGUCGUGCCGCAGCUAACGCAUUAAGUUCCCCGCCUGG
rnacentral:rRNA from 1 species